UGUAAACAUGUCACUCCCGAUAUAAUGAUGUAAAGUAUACAGUUAACUCAUUUGUAAGAUUAAAUAUAAUUCUGUCGAUGCAUUCGUAGUAAGAUAUCACAUAAUGCAAUAAUAUAUAGUAACAAUCUAAGGUGUAUUCACACGCAAACAUGCAGCAUUGCCUGGAAGCACCCAUGAUGCCCAAGUGUUUAGAAUGUCAGUACUAAGUGAUACUUUGGAGGCUCAUCAUCAUGUUUUGCAUGAUAAAGCCAAGGCGUGGGGUGAGAUGAAAGAAUUCUUAGAGGGAGAAGACCAUCGACCUCAUGCACUUAUCUAGCUUGAGUAACCCUGUUUGGCAAGCUAUCAUGGAUGCAAUAACCGCUAACAUUUUCAGAUGAAUUGAUGAAAACGGCUGUCUGGACAAAUAAAUCCUUCACAAUUUUUCUUUUGCAAACGCCAUCAGGUGCGUUGUUUGCUGGAACAAUACUUUUUGCGUCUUCAUCAGCAUCAACUGUUCCUUCUUGCCGUCAAUGGAACCAGCAUAAUAGACCAUCUGAAGUUCCUUCAGGGUCCCCUCUUUUCUGAUUUAUUGGA